UGGGGAAUAUUGCACAAUGGGGGAAACCCUGAUGCAGCGACGCCGCGUGAGCGAAGAAGGUUUUCGAAUCGUAAAGCUCUGUCCUAUGAGAAGAUAAUGACGGUAUCAUAGGAGGAAGCCCCGGCUAAAUACGUGCCAGCAGCCGCGGUAAUGCGUAUGGGGCGAGCGUUGUCCGGAAUUAUUGGGCGUAAAGGGUACGUAGGCGGUCUAUUAAGUCAGGUGUGAAAGCGUGAGGCUUAACCUCAUUAAGCACUUGAAACUGAUAGACUUGAGUGAAGGAGAGGAAAGUGGAAUUCCUAGUGUAGCGGUGAAAUGCGUAGAUAUUAGGAGGAAUACCGGUGGCGAAGGCGACUUUCUGGGCUUUUACUGACGCUCAGGUACGAAAGCGUGGGGAGCAAACAGG
rnacentral:rRNA from 1 species